ACUCCUACGGGAGGCAGCAGUGAGGAAUAUUGGACAAUGGGUGGAAGCCUGAUCCAGCCAUCCCGCGUGCAGGAAGACGGCCCUAUGGGUUGUAAACUGCUUUUAUCUGGGGAUAAACCUACUUACGUGUAAGUAGCUGAAGGUACCAGAAGAAUAAGCACCGGCUAACUCCGUGCCAGCAGCCGCGGUAAUACGGAGGGUGCAAGCGUUAUCCGGAUUUAUUGGGUUUAAAGGGUCCGUAGGCGGACUGAUAAGUCAGUGGUGAAAUCCGACAGCUUAACUGUCGAACUGCCAUUGAUACUGUUAGUCUUGAGUAAGGUUGAAGUGGCUGGAAUAAGUAGUGUAGCGGUGAAAUGCAUAGAUAUUACUUAGAACACCAAUUGCGAAGGCAGGUCACUAAGUCUUAACUGACGCUGAUGGACGAAAGCGUGGGGAGCGAACAGGAUUAGAAACCCCAGUAGUCCCAUGAU
rnacentral:rRNA from 1 species